UGGAGCUCAUUUGGGUCCUGAUUCAAACAAACUAAAAAAUAUUUACAGCAGGAGAUUUUUGGAAAGGUAAACAGUGAUUAGAUGUUUGAUGUUAUUCUAUAGGUUUGCUAUUUUUAACAAUAUGGAUGUUAAAAAUGCCAUCUUUCCACAGCACCUGGGUAGCUGGGUCAGUUAAGCAACAGAUCUUAAUUUCUGCUCAGGUGCAGGAGGUGGGUUGGAGCUCCUAGGUGUCCACGCUCAGUGGGGAGUCUGCUGGAGAGGCUCUCUCUCCCCCUCUCCCCCUCCCCUGCAAAACAAAUAAAUAAAUAAAUGUUUUUAAAAUUGGCAUCUUUCUAUUACAGUAUGUUGUUUCUGAUAAGAAUAAAGGAAAAGGAUGGAAGAAAAAGAAUGAAAACACUCGAGUGGGUCACAAAGGACAGACGUGCAGAGUCUGAAGGGCCGGAUGAAGCCGGAUUUGCCCAGGACUUGCCUUUUACCUGAGUAACCAGUGGAUCCUAGUCAGGAGCAAACGAGCUGCUCUUGGAUGAUGUCUUGGAGGACAUGCUGGGGGACGGCGAGUGGGGUCAGGUCACCGGAAGAAUGAGAGGAGGACACAGGUUUUUCCCUGCAUAAAAACGUGACGGAUUAUCAAGAAUAUACUGAAAGUCGGCCAGGUAUCCACCGCGGUCCUGGCCCUUAAGGAAUACUCAAGAGGAACACACAUCCUUGACCUUCGCUCGGGCGUCAGCAUCCACAGAACCACCGGCGGGGGCGAUUCGCGGAACGUAGUGACCUCAGUGUCACGUUCGACUGAAAAAUCCAUUUCCGGUAGAGCCGACAGUUGCUGUUGGAAGACUUAUAAAUACACCGAGGAGCUGCUAUUGGCACCUCAUGGCUAGAGGCAAGGACAGCCCCUCACAAUGAAGAGUUUUCCAGCCUCAAAUAUCAGUAAUGCUUUUGUUGAGAACCACUGCUUCACUUCUUCUGUAUUCCUGUGUUAUUAUUUACCUAGUGUCAUCAACUGAUUUAUUCCUGCAACAAUUCUUUCACAUUCUUCAUCCCUGGGAUUGGAACCCCAUUCUCCAUCAAGAGGUUUAUAGAUCAAUGAUCUGCAUUCAACAUCAGUUAAAGGAACACUAGUACCCAGUUCUUCAGGAAAUACAGCUGAAAUACACAGAAAAGCAGAUUUAGUGAAUAUACGCGAUUUUUGCUAAUAUUUAGGUUAUCUCUAGAAAGUAUAGUUGAUGUUGUCAGAAAAACUAAAGUGUGAUUUUGUAAAGAUUUGGUUAAGUAUGUUCUGUAUUUUCAUUAAAGAAAAGUAUGUUUCAAGGGUCAGUAACAUUUUCUAAAACACUAAUUUUAUUAAUAAUUCUCUAGAUGAGCAUAUAAUUACUUCUACAAAAUUAUACCUGACAACGUGCUCCACUAUCAGUUUCAGAUAUGGGACAAAGUAUUUCUAUAAAUGAUGCAAAUUAAAAGUUUUCUAAAUCAUUUCAUAAUAUAAUCUCCA